rnacentral:rRNA from 1 species
AUGUGCAUGCACACACGGGAGUGCCCCCUAGCUCACAUGUUUUUGGAGGAAUCAGUGAGAAGCAAAGAAAAGGUCGAUUUGGAGAAUACCCUCGUUGAUGAGAGCCAAAGACAGUCGAAAGAGUAUGGAUCUGCUUCCAGACCAAGGAAUGAGAAGCUUAGUGGGAUAAAGUGA